GCGAGCCCCGACCUGGCCCUAGGACGCCUCUCUGCAAAGCCUUUUUAGGGAACGGCCUUCGCUGUUCAGAGCCCUCGAGAGGGCCUGUAAUGACUUUGGAUUAGGUGUUCUGUGGCUGCCUCAAGGUUACCUGUAGGCGAGAAACGGGCCGGAGGACAAGAAUGGUUGUCCUGUUUCCAUUCCUGCCAGUGACGUACGGAAGUUCCAGUGAUUCCACACACUCACCAAUAACUGAUACGGUUGUUUUCUUUUAAUGGAGUUUUGAGAGUAUUUAAUAUAUUCUGCAUACAACACCUUUCUCAGGUAUGUGAUUUUACAAGUAUUUUAUCCCAGUCUAUGGUCUGACUUUUCAUUCUCUCAAGAGUGAAAUUAAUAUGGAUUGGGUCCAAUUUAUCAAUUUUCCCUUUAAGGAUCAUGUUUUCGGGGUCAUAUCUAAGGAAUAUCUGCCUAGUGUAGCUGAGAUUUUCUCCUAUACUUGCUUUUAAAAGUUUGACAGUUGUAUAUUUACAAAUAGAUCUAUGAUCCAUUUUGAGCUCAUUUUGUAUGGGGUGUGUUUUACUUUGCUAAU